AGUAAAUAGAUACCCGGGUAGUCCACGCCGUAAACGAUGUCGACUUGGAGGUUGUGCCCUUGAGGCGUGGCUUCCGGAGCUAAACGCGUUAAAGUCGACCGCCUGGGGAGUACGGCCGCAAGGUUAAAACUCAAAUGAAUUGACGGGGGCCCGCACAAGCGGUGGAGCAUGUGGUUUAAUUCGAUGCAACGCGAAGAACCUUACCUACUCUUGACAUCCAGAGAACUUAGCAGAGAUGCUUUGGUGCCUUCGGGAACUCUGAGACAGGUGCUGCAUGGCUGUCGUCAGCUCGUGUUGUGAAAUGUUGGGUUAAGUCCCGCAACGAGCGCAACCCUUAUCCUUUGUUGCCAGCGGUCCGGCCGGGAACUCAAGGAGACUGCCAGUGAUAAACUGGAGGAAGGUGGGGAUGACGUCAAGUCAUCAUGGCCCUUACGAGUAGGCUACACACGUGCUACAAUGGCGCAUACAAGAGAAGCGACCUCGCGAGAGCAAGCGGACCUCAUAAAGUGCGUCGUAGUCCGG
rnacentral:rRNA from 1 species